CUUUUCUUUUCUUUUCUUUUCUUUUUUUCUCUCUUAUUCUUUUCCUUAUUAAAAAAGAAUAAGAUACAAGAAACGCAGGGCGAAACUGAGUGGUGAAGCAAGCGGGUAGCUUUGCAUGCCACGCCUUCGGGCUCAUGGCGAGCCAACGGCAGCUGGCCAGCUGGCAGAUGAUGAGGCAUGCCGAGCUGAGUCCUGGUCGAUUCAAUCAUCGUUCUCGUCAUUUCGCUGUCAGGGUAUCAAUAUGGGAUCAGGCAGGAAAGUUAGUGGCUAUCUGAUCUCAUCAAUUAAAUAGACGGAACUCCGGAAUCGAAACGGGGCUGUUGGCUAGUAGCUGUUGGCUGCCUUUUUUAAAUUACUAUCUUCGAAGGAUUCAGUUUCUUUGCUAUUUUUUUUAUAGGGGUUGCAGAUUGGACUUAGCGAAAAAGACAUUUGGCUGCUGGUUUGGGCAAGAAUGAUGUGUAAAGCACAAAAAAUGGGUGUUGAGUGACGUUGCUUGAUUGUGGUGGGACAAAUCCAAAUCCAUCCGCGAUUCAUAGCCCGUUUUGACUGGCUGCAAAUGUAUUCUUAUAUAGACUGGCUCCCUGGUAUUCAGUAGGUAUUUCAAAAAGACAGAAUACUAGUACUUAUUCUAUGAUAGUUACCUUUUUCCAGCCUUCUUUAGAACCAGUUCCUAUCGUCUAAAAACUCACCCUCCUCGUCUAUCUAUAUCCUGGAACAAAAACUUGUAUCUAUCUGAAUGCUCCAGCAAGCCACUACCUAAGUGAUUAGCUAGUUCUCGUUUCCCCCCGCCUUGUCUUUUUCUCUUUUUGAUAUUGUCGAAAUCACAAACAAUGGCACACGAAGAGCGUAUUCCCCAUAGUAGAAAUGAGCAGGAUUGGAGAUGGGCCAUAAUCAUAAACCAUAACCACACUGUUCCUUCUACUCAGCUGCAUGACGGCUUGCCGGGCGUGUUCGGAGCGCAUCUCAGCUGAAUUCUACGUUCCCGCAAAGGCAAAAAAAAAGACAAAAGAAAAAACAAA
rnacentral:sRNA from 1 species